GGAUGCGAUCAUACCAGCACUAAAGCACCGGAUCCCAUCAGAACUCCGAAGUUAAGCGUGCUUGGGCGAGAGUAGUACUAGGAUGGGUCCUUUUUGUCUCUCUCUCCCCCCUUUUGACUCGCGCCGCUGCGUCCA
rfam:Oryza sativa Japonica Group DNA, chromosome 11, cultivar: Nipponbare, complete sequence.